GCCCUGGUAGCUCAGUUGGAUAGAGCAGCCGCCUUCUAAGCGGCCGGCCGCGAGUUCGAGUCUCGCCCGGGGCG
rnacentral:tRNA from 2 species